rnacentral:rRNA from 1 species
AUACGUAGGGGGCUAGCGUUAUCCGGAAUUACUGGGCGUAAGGGGUGCGUAGGUGGUUUCUUAAGUCAGAAGUGAAAGGCUACGGCUCAACCGUAGUAAGCUUUUGAAACUAAGAGACUUGAGUGCAGGAGAGGAGAGUAGAAUUCCUAGUGUAGCGGUGAAAUGCGUAGAUAUUAGGAGGAAUACCAGUUGCGAAGGCAGCUCUCUGGACUGUAGCUGACACUGAGGCACGAAAGCGUGGGGAGCAAACAGGAUUAGAUACCCAGGUAGUCCACGCCGUAAACGAUGAGUACUAGCUGUCGGGGGUUACCCCCCUCGGUGGCGCAGCUAACGCAUUAAGUACUCCGCCUGGGAAGUACGCUCGCAAGAGUGAAACACAAAUGAAUUGGCGGGG